GGCAGAAGCAGCUGCAUACUGUAGGAUACCAUGUUCAGGUGCUUUCUGCACAUAUGCAGAGGAAGUGCUACAGCUGUUUCCCAAGAAAGCAGCCUGGACCCUUGCUUCUGCCAUCAGCCAGAUGGGAUUUGGCUCCUUUAAGCCUGCUUCUGUUUCUAGUCUCCUCCAGAAUGUGCUUUCUCCCAGAUGUUUGCUUCUUGCUGGAACCUUUCAUGUGGGAGCAUUGUUUUUAU
rnacentral:lncRNA from 1 species